rnacentral:rRNA from 1 species
CCUACGGGAGGCAGCAGUGGGGAAUGUUGGACAAUGGGCGCAAGCCUGAUCCAGCUAUUCCGCGUGUGGGAAGACGGCCUUCGGGUUGUAAACCACUUUUGUAGAGAACGAAAAGUCUGUUGAUAAUACCGAUAGAUGAUGACGGUACUCUAAGAAUAAGCACCGGCUAACUACGUGCCAGCAGCCGCGGUAAUACGGAGGAUGCGAGCGUUAUCCGGAUUUAUUGGGUUUAAAGGGUGCGCAGGCGGAAGAUCAAGUCAGCGGUAAAAUUGAGAGGCUCAACCUCUUCGAGCCGUUGAAACUGGUUUUCUUGAGUGAGCGAGAAGUAUGCGGAAUGCGUGGUGUAGCGGUGAAAUGCAUAGAUAUCACGCAGAACUCCGAUUGCGAAGGCAGCAUACCGGCGCUCAACUGACGCUCAUGCACGAAAGUGUGGGUAUCGAACAGGAUUAGAUACCCUAGUAGUC